GUGUUCCAUGUUUUAUUACGAAUCUGUGUGCUUUCCUCUGCUUUCCUCUGUUUUAUAUUACUUAUGGGAGCCGUAUUUAUUUUAUGUAAUCUGCUUCUGUGCUUUACUAUGUGUUUGUGUGGUAUCUCGUGUCUUGAGCCGGGGGUCUAUCGGAAACAGCCUUUCUACUUCAUCAGAGGUAGAGGUAUGGACUGCGUACAUCUUACCCCCCCAGACCCCACUAGGUGGGAAUACACUGGGUUUGUUGUUGUUGUUGUUGUUAU
rnacentral:lncRNA from 1 species